AUCAACGGGCGGGCGGUGGUGGGGAGACCCUUGGGUCUGCCGGGUUCCUUUGUGUCCGGUUCGCCAACCCUGCUAUUCGCCUGCCCACCUCG
rnacentral:antisense_RNA from 1 species